UGUCGGCCACUCUUUCGUUGUGGUACCUUGCCACCCUUCGCUUGUAAGUGAGAUCCCUGAUGGACGCCUCCUCUCUCCGGCCCUCCAAGUACUCCCUUUCUAGGAACAUGGCUUGGUCGUUCGUGCCCGGUUGGAACUGCUCGAUACGCGCAGUUGGCCACACCAACUCUGCUGGCGCCACCGCCUCCAUCCCGAAUGCGAGGGCGAAGGGUGUUUGACCCGUGGGCGUUCGGAUGGUCGUGCGGUACGCCCACAUGGUUUCCGGGACUAGGUCCGCCCAGUUUCCCGGGUGUUCGCCCACCUUCCUUUUCAGGAUCGACGUUAUUGUUCGGUUCGUCAC
rnacentral:lncRNA from 1 species